CGCACUGCUGAACCGAGAACUUCCUCCUCAGCAGGUGCUCUCCGGUGUCUCCUCAACUGUGUGUGUGUUGCUCACUCAGAAACAACACGAAACAAAACGAAUAAGGAGAGAAAGAGACGCAAUGGACAUCGGCACUGAGGCAGCCCCUUCGUGGAGGACUAGCUCAUGGACGAAUUCAGCGAAUGGACAAGUUAUUCAGCAGCUAUGGAGGCCGGGCAACUUCUCUGGAGUCUUGUAGCAACUCUGAAACGAGCGUCUAUUCCUCCGUGUGUCUCCAGAAGCCCAGGCUCAGAGAGGUCGCAACCAGGAGAGGGGUCUCCCACUCCCUGUAAAUACACCAGAAGGUGCUGUGACCAACCUCCCAAACCAUUAAUUCCAAAUGCAAUCCGCCUAAAAUCCUCCCAGAGCUAAAGAAACGGAGGCGGAGUCCUUGUGCUGAAUGCGUGCGGCCUUGUGCUGAAUGCAUGCAGCCCAACAGCAGGUAGUAGACGGCAUGAAGGAAGAUACUGCCCGCCCGCAGGCAAAGGACAAUGGCACCCAGAGUCUGCCCCACGCUCCGCCGGGCCCCCCGACUCGCCCCAAGAAGCCGUCUGCGAUCAGAGGGCGCAGCGGAGGGCGGGCACCAUCUUCUGGCUACUUGGAUUCCUCCCUUCCCAGCAGGGAUUGCGGGAGCCCAGGAGGGCACGUCUGCCCAGAUUCCUUGUUCUCCCCAUCAGUGAAGAACCUCUGCCCCCUGGAAACUUGUGUUCUGCCGGGGAACCUGCAGCCGCACUGCACGGCCGGCCCCUCCUGACCCCUCGCGGUGGGGAUCAGCCCGCCCACUGACGUGCAGCUCCAGCCCUCGCCCCGCCCCAGCCCCCCACCCAGGAGCACCCCACGCGCCCCUUCCUCCCGCACCCCCACCCGUGUCACCGGGCCCCGUCCCAAGUAAUUAUGCCGCACAUGAAUCAUUUUUUAAUGUUUGGUUUAAUACAUACAGAUUCUUUAAACAAUAAAAAAAAAUCAGCAAACAGCAUCACAAUCUGGAAAUCU